GAUUUCAAAUGAAGAAGUGAUAAACACAAAGUUUGAUCUACUCAUUGUCAACUUCAUUUCAUAUUUAGGGUGUUUUUGCAUCCGAGCAAGUGAUGAUAACUUUGUUCUCGAAUUCUACUCAACUCUCUCAUAGUCUCAUGAACUAUGAGAUGGAUGUGUAAAAUUUGAGAACAAAAUUAUCAUCACUUGCUCAGAGCAAAAACACCCUGAAUAUGAAAUGAAGUUUACAAUGAGUAGAUCAAACUUUGUGUUCAUGAGUUUUUUGUCUGAAAUC
rnacentral:pre_miRNA from 1 species